ensembl:lncRNA
CGUGAAUCAUGUCCGCUUUCAUUUAAUUACACUUUUAGACUACAAGACAAAGAGUUUCCCAAACAGCUGCAGGUGCGUCCGUCAUCUACGGUUUACUGUAUUUAACACACUUUUUAGGUGGAUUUUGGUCUGAUUGCUGUGGAGCAUCGAAGGCAAGUUAAACAGCAGCAUGUGUGCAGUUUACUGUCGUCCCCAUGAACAAUUAACGGAAGAAGCUCUGGCUGCAGCCACAUUUCUACCAAGACAUACAUGAAUUUCGAUUUUGACCUUUCGCUGUUGAUGAUACAAGGUUGAAUUUGUUCUUUGAGGAGGAUCUUAAAUAGUGUCCUGUUGUUUCAACUACUGGUCCUCACUGAAGUGUAGAUCAAAGGAAGCAUCGGUGACAUUUAUGAAUGGAAUUGUCGAACUGCCCAAGGAUGUGUUCAUUUUUAUGAUAACAAAAAUACAAUUAUAACAAAAUGAAUCACUUCCUCUUUCUGCCGAGGCACCCUUUUGACUUUGCUAUGGCAACAACCGCCUUUCAAAGAUCUGGUUUCUGCUGCUGUACCACCGUACACACACACACACACACACACACACACACACUCUCGCUGCAUCCUUUGUGAGGCCGUCACACGAGCUACCGCUGUCACCAUUUGGAUGCAGCGGUCCAGUGGAGCGACCCAAAGCUAAAGGCUCGGAUGUCGCCUGGUCUAAAGGAUGCCCUUUCAUUGAUGAAUGGUGGUGAGCUGGCCAUUCUUGUGAUGCCAUCUUGUCCUAGGGGGGGGGUGAUACAAGAAUUGUGCAAAACAAAAAAAAAAGCUUAAGCAGAAUGUUUACGCGCGGGCUAAGUCGCUCUUAUUUGUCAGUGGGAGGGUUUCUUAUUCGCAGCCUUCAAGAGACACUUCCUGCUCGUUACAAGGGCAGCAACCACGCGCCCUUAAAUCCACGGUUCCCCUUUCUUGAACCCUGCUGUGAGGGAAAUGAGUCACCGUCGCUAAGGAAGUGAGACGGCGUGCGGUCGCGUGUAAGUCACAGGGUGCGCUCGGCCUUCGCUCAGCAGACCUCUCAAGGCGCUCGGAAACCCGUGAGCGCGGUUUUUUUUUUUUGGGCGUUGGAGCUUCUGCAGAAAGGCGUUCAAACGUGGAGAAAUCCAGAGAGAGGAAAGCUCAACGGCACAGAGUGGAGUGGGAGGAAUACAAUUGUACCGUUUGCUUAAAAUAUUCGGAAACUUCCUGUUACCAAAACGUGGCGCAAUCUGCUGUAGAAUAACUGACAGUCGGACGCAUACACAAACACACACACGCGCACACACGCACAGACUGACUUCCGCAACAGGUUUGCAGAGGCUGCUUAGACAUGUUGCAUUUUCUCUCCUUUUUCCUUUGUUGAGAGGACAGUAAUCCAGAGCUCAUCUUGAGGGGAAAUCGAGCGAGGCGUGUACUGAAUGUACAGACAAGCUUCUAUUGAUUUGUAGCAGUGAAUGAAGAUCCACCGACCCGAUCUAACAGGAACAAAACGGUUCCUCAAUGCGAGCCGGUUGCCGGGUGAUGCUGCGGUUCCCUGUUACACUGUGAGCUGUGAUUUGUGAGGCUUCCAUCUUUUCAACCUGUUGUCGAAUCAGCGUGACCACAUGAAUAUAUCCUUCAAACACAUAUUGCAGAGCCUUCUGUCUGCUUCUCCUUGCCAUCUCUCUUUUUUCCUUCAUUUUUUUUUUUUUUUUCAAAUACUUGAUCAUUUAUAUUCAGUUACUGCAGUAAAUGUGGUCUCCAUGGUAGCUCCGACAGAUUCGAUGGUGAUGGGGGAGGGGGGCUUAACUCAGGGUAAUGCAGGUAGGCAGAAAUCUGUUCUCCAUCAAGCUGGCCAAACAGUUAUUUCCUUUCCCUUCUCUGUUGCUUGAUUUGGUUAAGAUGGUUUCUGUUGGUCCCACGUUGUUCAGCAGCAGAUUCUAAAACAAAAAUGGACAACUAACAAGAGUUAUAAACAACUAGGUGGAUGGAAAGCUUUCCCAAAUACAGCAGGAAACCGAUGUCGUAGGAAUUAAAGGAUAUUCUAUACCCGUCUUAUAUGAGCACUGUAGUUGAACUAACAUGCACUGUCUCACAUGGCUGGAAAUGAUACGAAAUGGACUUUUUAACUUUUCAGCUGUGUGAGUAACAUUCAAUAAUAUGAUUUUGUUGUUACAUUAAUGUAUUCAGGAAGAACAAAUAAUGAGCCAAGUGAGAAAGACUUUGGGGAUUGUCAUUGGAUAACUUAAGACGAAACAAAUACUCAAUCUAAUUCCAUCUAUAUCAUUUUAAAAGUACUAAGACGAGACGGCCACUCCCAGAGCUUUCAACAGGCCUUUUUUUGUAGUGUAAUCGCCUGUUUUGUCAGCUUACUUUAGAGUCAACAAUAAUGAUCUGUUGAAUCUGCGAAUACAAUGGUCUGAUCCUCGCUGGGCUCACAUCCUCCUCACGCG